AGUACAGGGACCAGGGAUUUGUUCACAAACCAAUCUCACGUGGUUCGUUGCGCGUUCUUAAAUUGGCGGGGCACGACGUGGAGGACUUUCGAAAAAACGUCACAACAGUGAAAUAUGGUGACAGGCGUCCAACAUGACCUGAUGAAGCAGACACAGUACUUUUGGUCAAUGCUGGAUGAACUUGCAGAGACCGAUGAAGAUGCAUACAGGAAGUUCAUGGCCACAAACCUCCAAAGAGGACAGCAAGAAUUGACACCGGCCAAGCCAUGGAUGUGUGUCAAGACCCGUAUCAUGGAAGAAUUGACUGUUCUAGUCACAGACAAUACGAGUUACGUCUGCCACUACCAGAGAUUAUACAAGAAGACGUAUCCACAGCCAAUUCAGCAGACAACGUCAUCACCCACUGUUGCCAUGCCAACCAGGAUG